AGUAGGGUCGAAGCACCGGUUCCGUCGCCGCCAAGGUGGCGCGCACCGAUCCCUCACGACCUACCAAAAUACAGCAAGGUCAUGACCAUGAGUUCAUCACAGAGAAGAGCAGAGCAGAUCAGGCACAGCCACAUUAAGCAAUGACAGGAGGUACCGGACGCAAUAAUCAAAUAACAACAAGCAUGUUCCAAGAAAUAAAUACCCAGAUCAGGAGCAUAUGGUCCAUGAAGAGCUAGAUCGAGACAUCUCACCUCAGUUAGUUAGGGUUAGGGACUUAGGGUUUACGACAUGUUACCUGGGCCGGUCAGAUACUCAGAUCCAGGUCGAUGUAGAGACAGGGAGGAUAGGAUUAGCCGGAGAACGAGCACCAGAACUCCAGAAGACCGAAGACGAGAGGUGGAGCACGGAGCACCAGACGAGCGGUGGAGCGCCAGACGAGCGGUGGUCGGUGGAGCGUAGACGAGCGGUGGUCGGUGGAGCGCCGCCGCGCCGGUGCGGUGGAGGCUUGGACCUUGGAGCGACCGAAGACGGAGGGCCGGUGCGCCGCCAGUUCGCGAGAGGAGACUGGAGAGGGGAGGAGGAGAGGAGAGCUGGAAAGCCGCCGCGCGAGUGAAAGUGAAUGGACGCUAGGGUUUUCCGUUUCGGGCGAUAGGGAUUAGGGGCUGGCGGCUGGCUUAUGGGCUGGCUGGCAGCUGGCUUCUGCUCACGCGUAGACGGGCCGAUUUCAAAGCCUGAUUCCGUCGUGCCGUGCCCGGGCCAGCCCAACGGGCCGAAACCGCUGCCGAGCACGGCACGCGCUUCAUGCCGGGCUGGGCCCGGGCCCGUUUCCACUCGGGCCGGGCCGUGCCAGUCCCGGGCCGAAUUAACGGGCUCCAUGCCGGGCUUUCGGGCCGUGGGCUUUCUGGCCAUCUAUAGCAGCGAGCCAGCGAGGUUUCCAGCAGUACGGCAUGACGAUCCAACGGAACGCUUGGAGGCCGCAGAGAGGGCUCCCUGAAAGCUCUGUCACCGUUCUUCGUGCUUGGCUCUUCGAGCAUUUCCUCCACCCGUAAUGCAGCAGCAGAUUCCUUCCCUUCCCUUCCCUUUCCUUCCUUGUGCUAGCUCUUGUUUCUUCUCCGUUCCUUCGUUCGUCACCAUGCGUGCGUUGCGUUCCUUGUUGCAUUGCAGGUACCCUAAAGACUCUGAAAAGUUGAUGCUAGCGAGGCAAACAGGCUUGACAAGGAGUCAAGUAUGCAGGAGAAUGCUGAAUGCGCCUCAAACAGCUUGAUGCAUCUAUUGUUUUGACUCUAGCUACUACAUACUCCUCCAUCUCCAGAUCUCGAACUGGUUCAUCGUCAAUGCCCGCGUCCGCCUCUGGAAACCCAUGAUCGAGGACAUGUGUACAAGGAAGAGAUUGGAGACGCCACGGCGGAGCAAGACUCCAAUUCCUCCUCCGACAAGGCGCCACUAAGUGAAGACAAGGAGGGCCUGGAGAGAAGGUGUACGCCGAGGGUCUGCGAGAGCAGCUAGCGGCCCGCUGAGCGAGCCAAGAGCCAGCAGCACGAGGACCAUGAACGCCGGCGGUGGGUUACCCAGCACGGGACUGUUCCAGAACGAGCCCAACCCUGACGACUGCAGCUUCAUGAACCUGAUGCUCAAGGACCAAGACGAGAGCAACGCCCGGUUCAUGGCAUACCACCACCUGCUGGCAGAGCUUGGGAGGUACGGGAACGGCAAUGUGUCGCUCACCCUGGGGCUUGGGGCUGCAGUACCACUCCAGCGGCAGCCUCUCGAUUCCCAACGCCCAGCAGGGCUUUCCCGGUGUCGGUGUCGGAGACGAUGACAUCUACAACGCCACCACUCCUCUCGGUGUCAGCGUGGCGUCUUCGGAGUUCGGACUACGAAUCCAUGAACCAGAUGGAUCAACGGCAACGUUUCCAGCAGUCGCCCCCUUGUGCUGUUGUGCAUGAUUUUGUGGCCUGGAUGCUCAUCCCUCUGAAUGCCUAUUGGGUUAGUUUCGAUUGGAUACAGAUUAUUGGAGCUAUAGCCGGAAAUGUAAUAUGUAGUGUAGGGCGAUAGGGUAAAAAGAGGAGAACGUAUUGAAUAUAAAC
rnacentral:lncRNA from 1 species